AUAGGAACUUCAGUUCUUUCACCUCCUUACUGUACACUGGUGUGUGUUGGUUCUGGAAGCUUCAUUCUUGCAAGUCAUCUUCUCCCUUGGGUUUUGGACUCCCUUAGGAGAGUAACUGUCUUAUUUUGAACUAAUUAAUAUAUGUCCUUUGCCUGAUACUAGAUGCUGUGCAGGAGAGGGGGGGAAACGUAUUGCAAGCUUUUUCUUUUGGGUCACCAACCAGCUCCUAAAUCAUGACAUGGAGAUUUAUUAUUAGUUAUGAAUCCCUGGCCUUAGCUUAUGCUUAUCCUACUAAGGGGGGGGGGCAGAGAGAUCAAAAUAAAUACCAAAAGGUAAAAACAAGGACUUUUAUGGGACUCUCAAAAGUAGUCACAUUUCCAACACAGUGUCUAGUUCCCAUCACAGGAUCAGCACACCCCACAAACACCAGCUGGUGGUGGUACCAAGGCCACAACCUCCACCUCCCAACUCCCAGCUUUUGAUACUUCUGUUGCCUUCCAUUUGAAUCUUUAUGAGUUUGCUAUCACAUUAACAAGUCACAAGAGUCAACAGGAAACUCAGAACAAUGCUUAUCUGUUAAGCAAGUGUUACAGGCAGGCAGUUUUCAAACUGUUCUGUGGGGCCUAAGGUUCCGUGGGCUAGUCAUCGAAGGAUGCUGAAGCUGCUACAUCUUGCAUCAAUCAGAGUCCCUCUUCCUGCAUCUGGUCUUCAUAUUGGCUUCUCCAAAACUGUUUGACUCAAAGCUGUUCUGUGAAGGAGAGCGAGCAGGAAGAUGAAGAAAGCCUGGAACCGAGUACACGCCACAGGAAGCAUGCUGACGUUUUCCGCAGUGCUUGUGAAAGGUCUAUUUCCAAACAAAAGAUUCAGCCUUUCUGCCGCUUACCUGAGGAAGCAAGAAGACAGAAGUUCCAAGAUGGCAUCAAGUCACAAUUGUUCCCGAUCACCACAGUGCAUUCAAUUCUUCUACUUAAAAAAAAAAAAAAAAAAAAAGACUGAGUCUAACUGUGUAGCCCUGGUUGGCUUGGAAGUCUCUAUGUAG
rnacentral:lncRNA from 1 species